rnacentral:rRNA from 1 species
AUUGAACGCUGGCGGCAGGCCUAACACAUGCAAGUCGAACGGUAACAGGAAGCAGCUUGCUGCUUCGCUGACGAGUGGCGGACGGGUGAGUAAUGUCUGGGAAGCUGCCUGAUGGAGGGGGAUAACUACUGGAAACGGUAGCUAAUACCGCAUAAUGUCGCAAGACCAAAGAGGGGGACCUUCGGGCCUCUUGCCAUCGGAUGUGCCCAGAUGGGAUUAGCUUGUUGGUGGGGUAACGGCUCACCAAGGCGACGAUCCCUAGCUGGUCUGAGGGGAUGACCAGCCACACUGGAACUGAGACACGGUCCAGACUCCUACGGGAGGCAGCAGUGGGGAAUAUUGCACAAUGGGCGCAAGCCUGAUGCAGCCAUGCCGCGUGUAUGAAGAAGGCCUUCGGGUUGUAAAGUACUUUCAGCGGGGAGGAAGGGAGUAAAGUUAAUACCUUUGCUCAUUGACGUUACCCGCAGAAGAAGCACCGGCUAACUCCGUG